AACGCGAAGAACCUUACCUGGGCUCGAAGCGCAGUGGAAUCCGGUGGAAACAUCGGCGCCCGCAAGGGUCGCUGCGGAGGUGCUGCAUGGCUGUCGUCAGCUCGUGUCGUGAGAUGUUGGGUUAAGUCCCGCAACGAGCGCAACCCUUAUCUCUAGUUGCCAUCAGGUCAAGCUGGGCACUCUAGCGAAACCGCCCCGGAUAACGGGGAGGAAGGUGGGGAUGACGUCAAGUCCUCAUGGCCUUUAUGUCCAGGGCUACACACGUGCUACAAUGGCCGGUACAAACCGUCGCAAACCCGCGAGGGGGAGCUAAUCGGAAAAAGCCGGCCUCAGUUCGGAUUGGAGUCUGCAACCCGACUCCAUGAAGCUGGAAUCGCUAGUAAUCGCGGAUCAGAACGCUGCGGUGAAUACGUUCCCGGGCCUUGUA
rnacentral:rRNA from 1 species